rnacentral:rRNA from 1 species
GGGUUGUGAGGUUAAGCGACUAAGCGUACACGGUGGAUGCCCUGGCAGUCAGAGGCGAUGAAGGGCGUGCUAAUCUGCGAUAAGCGCCGGUAAGGUGAUAUGAACCGUUAUAACCGGCGAUACCCGAAUGGGGAAACCCAGUGUGAUUCGUCACACUAUCAUUAACUGAAUCCAUAGGUUAAUGAGGCGAACCGGGGGAACUGAAACAUCUAAGUACCCCGAGGAAAAGAAAUCAACCGAGAUUCCCCCAGUAGCGGCGAGCGAACGGGGAGGAGCCCAGAGCCUGAAUCAGCAUGUGUGUUAGUGGAAGCGUCUGGAAAGGCGCGCGAUACAGGGUGACAGCCCCGUACACAAAAGCGCAUGUGCUGUGAGCUCGAUGAGUAGGGCGGGACACGUGGUAUCCUGUCUGAAUAUGGGGGGACCAUCCUCCAAGGCUAAAUACUCCUGACUGACCGAUAGUGAACCAGUACCGUGAGGGAAAGGCGAAAAGAACCCCGGCGAGGGGAGUGAAAAAGAACCUGAAACCGUGUACGUACAAGCAGUGGGAGCNNNNNNNNNNNNNNNNNNNNNNNNNNNNNNNNNNNNNNNNNNNNNNNNNNNNNNNNNNNGGCGUUAAGUUGCAGGGUAUAGACCCGAAACCCGGUGAUCUAGCCAUGGGCAGGUUGAAGGUUGGGUAACACUAACUGGAGGACCGAACCGACUAAUGUUGAAAAAUUAGCGGAUGACCUGUGGCUGGGGGUGAAAGGCCAAUCAAACCGGGAGAUAGCUGGUUCUCCCCGAAAGCUAUUUAGGUAGCGCCUCGUGAAUUCAUCUCCGGGGGUAGAGCACUGUUUCGGCUAGGGGGCCAUCCCGGCUUACCAACCCGAUGCAAACUGCGAAUACCGGAGAAUGUUAUCACGGGAGACACACGGCGGGUGCUAACGUCCGUCGUGAAGAGGGAAACAACCCAGACCGCCAGCUAAGGUCCCAAAGUCAUGGUUAAGUGGGAAACGAUGUGGGAAGGCCCAGACAGCCAGGAUGUUGGCUUAGAAGCAGCCAUCAUUUAAAGAAAGCGUAAUAGCUCACUGGUCGAGUCGGCCUGCGCGGAAGAUGUAACGGGGCUAAACCAUGCACCGAAGCUGCGGCAGCGACACUGUGUGUUGUUGGGUAGGGGAGCGUUCUGUAAGCCUGCGAAGGUGGCCUGUGAGGGUUGCUGGAGGUAUCAGAAGUGCGAAUGCUGACAUAAGUAACGAUAAAGCGGGUGAAAAGCCCGCUCGCCGGAAGACCAAGGGUUCCUGUCCAACGUUAAUCGGGGCAGGGUGAGUCGACCCCUAAGGCGAGGCCGAAAGGCGUAGUCGAUGGGAAACGGGUUAAUAUUCCCGUACUUGGUGUUACUGCGAAGGGGGGACGGAGAAGGCUAUGUUGGCCGGGCGACGGUUGUCCCGGUUUAAGCGUGUAGGUGUGUGUUCCAGGUAAAUCCGGUUCACUUUAACACUGAGGCGUGACGACGAGGCACUACGGUGCUGAAGCAACAAAUGCCCUGCUUCCAGGAAAAGCCUCUAAGCAUCAGGUAACAUCAAAUCGUACCCCAAACCGACACAGGUGGUCAGGUAGAGAAUACCAAGGCGCUUGAGAGAACUCGGGUGAAGGAACUAGGCAAAAUGGUGCCGUAACUUCGGGAGAAGGCACGCUGACACGUAGGUGAAGUGAUUUACUCAUGGAGCUGAAGUCAGUCGAAGAUACCAGCUGGCUGCAACUGUUUAUUAAAAACACAGCACUGUGCAAACACGAAAGUGGACGUAUACGGUGUGACGCCUGCCCGGUGCCGGAAGGUUAAUUGAUGGGGUCAGCGCAAGCGAAGCUCCUGAUCGAAGCCCCGGUAAACGGCGGCCGUAACUAUAACGGUCCUAAGGUAGCGAAAUUCCUUGUCGGGUAAGUUCCGACCUGCACGAAUGGCGUAAUGAUGGCCAGGCUGUCUCCACCCGAGACUCAGUGAAAUUGAACUCGCUGUGAAGAUGCAGUGUACCCGCGGCAAGACGGAAAGACCCCGUGAACCUUUACUAUAGCUUGACACUGAACAUUGAGCCUUGAUGUGUAGGAUAGGUGGGAGGCUUUGAAGUGUGGACGCCAGUCUGCAUGGAGCCGACCUUGAAAUACCACCCUUUAAUGUUUGAUGUUCUAACGUGGACCCGUUACCCGGGUUGCGGACAGUGUCUGGUGGGUAGUUUGACUGGGGCGGUCUCCUCCUAAAGAGUAACGGAGGAGCACGAAGGUUGGCUAAUCCUGGUCGGACAUCAGGAGGUUAGUGCAAUGGCAUAAGCCAGCUUGACUGCGAGCGUGACGGCGCGAGCAGGUGCGAAAGCAGGUCAUAGUGAUCCGGUGGUUCUGAAUGGAAGGGCCAUCGCUCAACGGAUAAAAGGUACUCCGGGGAUAACAGGCUGAUACCGCCCAAGAGUUCAUAUCGACGGCGGUGUUUGGCACCUCGAUGUCGGCUCAUCACAUCCUGGGGCUGAAGUAGGUCCCAAGGGUAUGGCUGUUCGCCAUUUAAAGUGGUACGCGAGCUGGGUUUAGAACGUCGUGAGACAGUUCGGUCCCUAUCUGCCGUGGGCGCUGGAGAACUGAGGGGGGCUGCUCCUAGUACGAGAGGACCGGAGUGGACGCAUCACUGGUGUUCGGGUUGUCAUGCCAAUGGCACUGCCCGGUAGCUAAAUGCGGAAGAGAUAAGUGCUGAAAGCAUCUAAGCACGAAACUUGCCCCGAGAUGAGUUCUCCCUGAGACUUAGAGUCUCCUGAAGGAACGUUGAAGACGACGACGUUGAUAGGCCGGGUGUGUAAGCGCAGCGAUGCGUUGAGCUAACCGGUACUAAUGAACCGUGAGGCUUAACCUUACAACGCCGAAG